rnacentral:misc_RNA from 1 species
AAUUCUCAACCUCUUCAGCUUUGUAAAGGCUGGCUAGGCUUGGAUUUUGGAGGUUGCUGGCUUCUUCAAGAAAUCAGCUCUUCUUAAAUGAAUUAGCAGAACCUUUACUGAUUAUCUCUUUGGUAUGAUAAUUAUCUAUACCACAGAAAUUCAGUGUGUCCUACAUGGGAAAAAGCUCUGCUUAAAAAUCGUCUUAUCCAGACACUUUGACA